rnacentral:ncRNA from 1 species
UAUCUUCAGGGCAGGGUGAAAUUCCCGAUCGGCGGUAUAGUCCGCGAGCGCAGUGAUGCGUAGGAUUUGGUGAGAUUCCAAAACCGACAGUAUAGUCUGGAUGGAAGAAGAU